AUAUCAAUAAGCGGAGGAAAAGAAACUAACAAGGAUUCCCCUAGUAACUGCGAGUGAAGCGGGAAAAGCUCAAAUUUAAAAUCUGGGGGUCUUUUUAUACGGCCUUCUGAGUUGUAAUCUAGAGAAGUGCUAUCCGCGCUGGACCGUGUACAAGUCUCCUGGAACGGAGCGUCAUAGAGGGUGAGAAAUCCCGUCUUUGACACGGACUACCAGGGCUUUGUGAUGCGCUCUCAAAGAGUCGAGUUGUUUGGGAAUGCAGCUCUAAAUGGGUGGUAAAUUCCAUCUAAAGCUAAAUAUUGGCGAGAGACCGAUAGCGAACAAGUACCGUGAGGGAAAGGUGAAAAGAACUUUGGAAAGAGAGUUAAACAGUAC
rnacentral:rRNA from 1 species